UACGGAGGGUGCGAGCGUUGUCCGGAAUCACUGGGCGUAAAGGGCGCGUAGGCGGCUUGUCGCGUCGUCCGUGAAAACCCGGGGCUCAACCCCGGGCUUGCGGUCGAUACGGGCAGGCUCGAGUUCGGUAGGGGAGACUGGAAUUCCUGGUGUAGCGGUGAAAUGCGCAGAUAUCAGGAAGAACACCCGUGGCUAAGGCGGCUCUCUAGUACGGUACUGACGCUGAGACGCGAAAGCGUGGGGAGCGAACAGG
rnacentral:rRNA from 1 species